rnacentral:rRNA from 1 species
CCUACGGUGGGCAGCAGUGAGGAAUAUUGGUCAAUGGGCGAGAGCCUGAACCAGCCAAGUCGCGUGAGGGAGUACUGCCCUAUGGGUUGUAAACCUCUUUUGUCGGGGAGCAAAAGCCGGACGUUUCCGGCUGUGAGAGUACCCCAAGAAAAAUCAUCGGCUAACUCCGUGCCAGCAGCCGCGGUAAUACGGAGGAUGCGAGCGUUAUCCGGAUUUAUUGGGGUUAAAGGGUUCGCAGGCGGAUUAUUAAGUCAGCGGUAAAAUCGUGGGGCUUAACCCCAUCCAGACGGUGAAAAGGGGGAUCUAGAGUGUGCGAGAGGUAUGCGGAAUGCGUGGUGUAGCGGUGAAAUGCAGAGAUAUCACGCAGAACCCCGAUUGCGAAGGCAGCAUACCGGUGCGCAACUGACGCUCAGGCACGAAAGCGUGGGUAUCGAACAGGAUUAGAUACCCUGGUAGUC